rnacentral:lncRNA from 1 species
ACCAGGAAGCGCUGUGGAAUCCAAGAGGACCACAGGGAUGUGUGGGGAGCUGGGGAGCCGGGCAGAAGUGGACAUUGGAAGAGACUGAACUUGGGUACCCAACUGUUGAGCGUUAACCACCAGACGGCGCUGUCUCCUUCCUUACAAGCUUUAUAUCACCAGGUUGAGGACAUUGAGGGGGCUUCUCUUUCCCCGUCUCGACGGUAUUCUUGGAGAUACUCCGGCUGGGAUGGAUUUCACCCCUUGUUCUUGUCCUACCGCAGGGGAUCUCCAUCUGUUGCAACCUGUUGAGACCUCUGGCGGUGAUGUUCAGAAAGGAGUCUCCACCCAAAGUCCUAAGCUCUACUACCGGCUCCCUCAUUGAUUUUUCUGCGUGACCUGAAACAAAUCAUGUAACCACUCCCUGCCUUAGUUUCCUUAUUUGUGAAAUAUAUCUUUCUGGUUAAGGCAACAAUCCACUGGCGACUUUCCAUAUUAAGGAUGCUGUAAGGACAAAUUAGCUCAAGUAUUUUAAAAUGAAAGGGUAGCAGCAGACGAAUAAAGAUAGAAUAGGUUUUGUGCUUAUAUAGCCU